rnacentral:rRNA from 1 species
GACGAACGCUGGCGGCGUGCCUAAUACAUGCAAGUUGAGCGCUGAAGGUUGGUCCUUGUACCAACUGGAUGAGCAGCGAACGGGUGAGUAACGCGUGGGGAAUCUGCCUUUGAGCGGGGGACAACAUUUGGAAACGAAUGCUAAUACCGCAUAAAAACUUUAAACACAAGUUUUAAGUUUGAAAGAUGCAAUUGCAUCACUCAAAGAUGAUCCCGCGUUGUAUUAGCUAGUUGGUGAGGUAAAGGCUCACCAAGGCGAUGAUACAUAGCCGACCUGAGAGGGUGAUCGGCCACAUUGGGACUGAGACACGGCCCAAACGCCUUCGGGAGGCGGCAGUAGGGAAUCUUCGGCAAUGGACGAAAGUCUGACCGAGCAACGCCGCGUGAGUGAAGAAGGUUUUCGGAUCGUAAAACUCUGUUGGUAGAGAAGAACGUUGGUGAGAGUGGAAAGCUCAUCAAGUGACGGUAACUACCCAGAAAGGGACGGCUAACUACGUG